CCUACGGGUGGCAGCAGUGGGGAAUAUUGCACAAUGGGGGAAACCCUGAUGCAGCGACGCCGCGUGAGUGAUGAAUUAUUUAGGUAUGUAAAGCUCUAUCAGCAGAGGAGAUAAUGACGGUACCUGACUAUGAAGCUCCGGCUAAAUACAUGCCAGCAGCCGCGGUAAUACGUAUGGAGCAAGCGUUAUCCGGAUUUACUGGGUGUAAGGGGAGCGCAGACGGCAGGGUAAGUCUGAUGUGAAAGUCCGGGGCUCAACCCCGGGAUUGCAUUGGAAACUGUCCGGCUAGAGUGCAGUAGAGGUAAGUGGAAUUCCUAGUGUAGCGGUGAAAUGCGUAGAUAUCAGGAGGAACACCAGUGGCGAAGGCGGCUUACUGGACUGUAACUGACGUUGAGGCUCGAAAGUGUGGGGAGCAAACAGGAUUAGAUACCCCUGUAGUC
rnacentral:rRNA from 1 species